GUUCUCCCACGAGUUGAGAAAACAAACCGUGAAGAAAAGAAGUUCGAGAGCCAUCCAGAAAUCGUUUUUAUCUGUCCUGGCUUCUCAUAUUGAAAAUCCUCUCUUGGUCAGGUCUUUUUAUGAGGCGAGCAGAAGUUCCAGAAGCUCCAGUCCUUGAAUCAUAUCAGGUGAACCAUUGAUCCAUAGAUGGCGAGCCCUCCCAAUGAGCCGUGAACCUCUACCACAGCAUUCCGGAAGCCUGUGGUAGGAUUGUGUCAGUUCACCGAACCGGCACCAACGAGAUUUUCCCUUUCGAGUAUUUACCAUUGACUUUGAUUUUUCCCUUUUUACUUACUGACUUGAACUCUGGAUUGAACUCUGGAAUUCCUAAGGACGAUUUCCAAGGAACAUUUUCAAGAAGGACAUUUUAUUUUAUUUUAUUCAAAAUUUAUUUUGGGCCCAUAGGUGGUGUGUACACAAUUGUUGUGAAGUGUUGAAAUAUUUUGUUGAACUAAAGGGUUACACAUUUCA